rnacentral:rRNA from 1 species
UGGGACUGAGACACGGACCAGACUCCUACGGGAGGCAGCAGUGGGGAAUAUUGCGCAAUGGGCGCAAGCCUGACGCAGCAACGCCGCGUGGGGGAUGAAGCUUUUCGGAUUGUAAACCCCUUUCCACCCGGAUGAAUGACCCCCAUGGGUUUGACGGUACUGGUAUCAAAAUCCCCGGCUAACUCCGUGCCAGCAGCCGCGGUAAUACGUAGGGGGC